GGUCGCGUACUCCAGAGAUGGAGUUCUUCAGUUCGGCUGGACCGGAGACAGCUGCUGCAUGGUUGUCGUCAGCUCGUGUCGAGAGAUGUUUGAAUGAGUCACGCAACGAGCGCAACCCCCGUCCUUAGUUGCUACCAUUUAGUUGAGCACUCUAAGGAGACUGCCGGUGAUAAGCCGCGAGACAGGUGGAGAUGACGUCAAGUCCUCAUGGCCCUUACGGGCUGGGCUACACACGUGCUACAAUGGCGGUGACAAUGGGAUGCUAAGGGGCGACCCUUCGCAAAUCUCAAAAAGCCGUCUCAGUUCGGAUUGGGCUCUGCAACUCGAGCCCAUGAAGUUGGAAUCGCUAGUAAUCGUCGAUCAGCACGCCACGGUGAAUACGUUCCCGGGCCUUGUACACACCGCCCGUCACACCAUGGGAGUUGGUUUUACCUGAAGACGGUGCGCUAACCCGCAAGGAAGGCAGCCGGCCACGGUAGUUUCAGCGACUGGGGUGAAGU
rnacentral:rRNA from 1 species